rnacentral:rRNA from 1 species
UACGUAGGGUGCGAGCGUUAAUCGGAAUUACUGGGCGUAAAGUGUGCGCAGGUGGCCGCGCAAGUCGAGUGUGAAAUCCCCGGGCUUAACUUGGGAAUUGCGCUCGAAACUACGUGGCUCGAGUGUGGCAGAGGAAGGUGGAAUUCCACGUGUAGCGGUGAAAUGCGUAGAUAUCGGGAGGAACACCAGUGGCGAAGGCGGCAUCCUGGACCGAGAUUGACGCUGAUGCGCGAAAGCCAGGGGAGCAAACGGG